CGUGUUCCGUGUUCCAUGUUUUAUUACGAAUCUGUGUGCUUUCCUCUGCUUUCCUCUGUUUUAUAUUACUUAUGGGUGCCGUAUUUAUGUUAUGUAAUCUGCUUCUGUGCUUUACUAUGUGUUUGUGUGGUAUCUCGUGUCUUGAGCCGGGGGUCUAUCGGAAACAGCCUUUCUACUUCAUCAGAGGUAGAGGUAUGGACUGCGUACAUCUUACCCCCCAGACCCCACUAGGUGGGAAUACACUGGGUUUGUUGUUGUUGU
rnacentral:lncRNA from 1 species